UACGUAGGGACCAAGCGUUGUUCGGAUUUACUGGGCGUAAAGGGCGCGUAGGCGGCGCGGUAAGUCGGGUGUGAAAUCUCGGAGCUUAACUCCGAAACUGCAUUCGAUACUGCCGUGCUUGAGGACUGGAGAGGAGACUGGAAUUUACGGUGUAGCGGUGAAAUGCGUAGAUAUCGUAAGGAAGACCAGUGGCGAAGGCGGGUCUCUGGACAGUUCCUGACGCUGAGGCACGAAGGCCAGGGGAGCAAACGGG
rnacentral:rRNA from 1 species